AUUAAUAAAAUAGCGCCUGAUCUGUGAAAACAGAUGACGAGGAAAGGGUUUAUCGAAAUUUUCGGCGGAUGGCCCUAGGGACUGCACUCUACAGAAUAGCAAAAAAACGAUCUGUGAAGAUCGAACAAGAACCUAUUCACGCAAUUGG
rnacentral:ncRNA from 1 species